UCAAACUUCAACAGCUCAUAUCUCACUAUCGGACCAUCCAAAAAACCUUAAAUUUUAUAUAAAGUACUAAUAUACUUUCAAAAACUUCCACAAAAAAAAAAAAAAAAUCAAUUACAAAUUCGUUACGGAUCUUGAGAUAUUGCCAAAAUCCUAACAGUAGCUUUAAACCCUAGCUUACAUACAUGCAUGUGCUAAUUUCUUCAUAUC
rnacentral:lncRNA from 1 species